GCACUGCUGAGGAGUCCCACAACAGGGCGAAAUGGUCAUCCAGUGC
rnacentral:hammerhead_ribozyme from 1 species